rnacentral:rRNA from 1 species
AUUGAACGCUGGCGGCAGGCCUAACACAUGCAAGUCGAACGAGUGGCGGACGGGUGAGUAAUGUCUGGGAAACUGCCUGAUGGAGGGGGAUAACUACUGGAAACGGUAGCUAAUACCGCAUACCAUCGGAUGUGCCCAGAUGUGAUUAGCUAGUAGGUGGGGAAAAGGAUCACCUAGGCGACGAUCCCUAGCUGGUCUGAGAGGAUGACCAGCCACACUGGAACUGAGACAAGGUCCAGACUCCUACGGGGUGCAGCAGUGGCGAAUAUUGCACAAUCGGCGCAAGCCUGAUGCAGCCAUGCCGCGUGUAUGAAGAAGGCCGUCGGGUUGUAAAGUACGUUCAGCGGAGGGGCGUGACCCGCAGAAGAAGCUCCGGCUAACUCCGUGCCAGCCGCCGCGGUAAUAC